rnacentral:rRNA from 1 species
GGAAUAUUGGACAAUGGGCGCAAGCCUGAUCCAGCCAUGCCGCGUGCAGGAUGACGGUCCUAUGGAUUGUAAACUGCUUUUAUACGAGAAGAAACACUGGUUCGUGAACCAGCUUGACGGUAUCGUAAGAAUAAGGAUCGGCUAACUCCGUGCCAGCAGCCGCGGUAAUACGGAGGAUCCAAGCGUUAUCCGGAAUCAUUGGGUUUAAAGGGUCCGUAGGCGGUCAGAUAAGUCAGUGGUGAAAGUCCAUCGCUCAACGGUGGAACGGCCAUUGAUACUGUCUGACUUGAAUUAUUAGGAAGUAAUUAGGAUAUGUAGUGUAGCGGUGAAAUGCUUAGAGACUACAUGGAAUACCGAUUGCGAAGGCAGGUUACUACUAAUGGAUUGACGCUGAUGGACGAAAGCGUGGGUAGCGAACAGGAUUAGAUACCCUUG